rnacentral:lncRNA from 1 species
AGGAGAGAAGGCAGGAGGUGAAGGAGAUGGCACAGGCAGAGGUACAGAGUGGUGACUGAAACCACACGCCAUGUUGGGAGACUUCCAAACAAGUCUAGAGAGUUGGCACUUAGGGAUGAAGAAAUCAUCUUCUGAAGUAACCUGGCCAGGCGCAGUGGCAUACACCUGUAAUUCCAACACAGUGGGAGGAUCUCUUGAUGCCAAGAGUGCAAGACCAGCCUGGGCAACAUAGACUUGCGCAGCCACAGCUGUGGGGCUAAAGACCGUG